rnacentral:rRNA from 1 species
UCAGACGAUGCGUCAUGCAUAUCAAUAAGCGGAGGAAAAGAAACUAACAAGGAUUCCCCUAGUAACGGCGGGUGAAGCGGGAAGAGCUCAAAUUUGAAAUCUUAAAGGGUUUCCCUUUACGAAUUGUAGUUUAAAGAAGUGUUUUCUGUUGAGGUUUUGGUAAAAGUUCUUUGGAAUAGGACAUCAUAGAGGGUGAGAAUCCCGUAUUUGACCUUUACUUUCAACUUUGUGAUACACUUUCAAAGAGUCGGAUUGUUUGGGAAUGCAGUCCAAAAUGGGUGGUAAAUUUCAUCUAAAGCUAAAUAUUGGCGAGAGACCGAUAGCGAACAAGUACCGUGAGGGAAGGAUGAAAAGAACUUUGAAAAGAGAGUUAAACAGUACGUGAAAUUGUCAAAAGGGAAGCGUUUGACACCAGUGUUGUUUUUCUGAAAAUCAAUUAAAGAACUGUUUAUGCUAAGUUGUUUAGACUUUAUCAGCUAACUGUUUAGUUUUGAGCUUUUCUUUAAUGCACUUUUCAGUUAACAAGUCAACAUCAAUUUCUUUUGCUGUAAAAAAGCUUGAGGAAGGUGGCUUGAGAUUCGUCUUAAGUGUUUAUAGCCUCUUGCCUAUGCAGUCGGAGAGAUUGAGGUCUGCAGCGUAGAUCCUUCGGGGCUAAAUGCAUUUGUGCUAAGUUAUAGCAUUUUAUAGACAACUUGUUGACUAUGAUUUGUCUUGUAGCUUACUCGCUUAUGUUAUUUUACCUACGCUUAGGAUGUUGAGCGCAUGUCUCUCUCU